rnacentral:rRNA from 1 species
CAGGUACANCGGGAAGCCACCUGGCGACAGGGCGCGGAACCCGAAAACCUGUCUCAGUUCGGAUUGGAGUCUGCAACCCGACUCCAUGAAGCUGGAUUCGCUAGUAAUCGCGCAUCAGCCACGGCGCGGUGAAUACGUUCCCGGGCCUUGUACACACCGCCCGUCAAGCCAUGGAAGCCGGGAGUGCCUGAAGUGCGUGACCGCAAGGAGCGUCCUAAGGCAAUACCGGUGACUGGGGCUAAGUCGUAACAAGGUAUC